rnacentral:rRNA from 1 species
UACGUAGGGUGCGAGCGUUAAUCGGAAUUACUGGGCGUAAAGCGUGCGCAGGCGGUUUUGUAAGCCAGAUGUGAAAUCCCCGGGCUCAACCUGGGAAUGGCAUUUGUGACUGCAAGGCUAGAGUACGGUAGAGGGGGAUGGAAUUCCGCGUGUAGCAGUGAAAUGCGUAGAUAUGCGGAGGAACACCGAUGGCGAAGGCAAUCCCCUGGACCUGUACUGACGCUCAUGCACGAAAGCGUGGGGAGCAAACAGG